UACGAAGGGGGCUAGCGUUGCUCGGAAUUACUGGGCGUAAAGGGCGCGUAGGCGGAUACUUAAGUCGGGGGUGAAAGCCCGGGGCUCAACCUCGGAAUUGCCUUCGAUACUGGGUAUCUUGAGUUCGGGAGAGGUGAGUGGAAUGCCGAGUGUAGAGGUGAAAUUCGUAGAUAUUCGGCGGAACACCAGUGGCGAAGGCGACUCACUGGCCCGAUACUGACGCUGAGGCACGAAAGCGUGGGGAGCAAACAGGG
rnacentral:rRNA from 1 species